UACGUAGGGUGCAAGCGUUGUCCGGAAUUAUUGGGCGUAAAGAGCUCGUAGGCGGCUUGUCGCGUCGGCUGUGAAAACCUGGGGCUCAACCCCGGGCCUGCAGCCGAUACGGGCAGCUAGAAUUCGGUAGGGGAGACUGGAAUUCCUGGUGUAGCGGUGAAAUGCGCAGAUAUCAGGAGGAACACCGGUGGCGAAGGCGGGUCUCUGGGCCGAAAUUGACGCUGAGGAGCGAAAGCGUGGGGAGCGAACAGG
rnacentral:rRNA from 1 species